rnacentral:rRNA from 1 species
UACAGAGGGGGCAAGCGUUGUUCGGAAUUACUGGGCGUAAAGGGCGCGUAGGCGGCCUGCUAAGUCGAACGUGAAAUCCCCGAGCUCAACUCGGGAACUGCGUCCGAUACUGGCAGGCUUGAAUCCGGGAGAGGGAUGCGGAAUUCCAGGUGUAGCGGUGAAAUGCGUAGAUAUCGGGAGGAACACCGGUGGCGAAGGCGGGUCUCUGGGCCGAUACUGACGCUGAGGAGCGAAAGCGUGGGGAGCGAACAGG